UCAUUGGUGCUUCAGUGGUAGAAUUCUUACCUGCCAUGCAGGAGGCUUGGAUUCGAUUCCCAGCCAAAGCA
rnacentral:tRNA from 1 species